rnacentral:rRNA from 1 species
CGCCCGCCUCAACGAAACUCAAAAGGAAGUUACGACGGGGCCCGGCCGACAAGCGGAGGAGCAUGUGGUUAAUUCGAUGAUACGCGAGGAACCGUUACCUGGGCUCGAACGUAAGAUGACUGUAGGUGAAAGCUUACAUCUCUUCGGAGCAUUUUACGAGGUGCUGCAUGGUUGUCGUCAGCUCGUGCCGUGAGGUGUCGGGUUAAGUCCCAUAACGAGCGCAACCCCUACCUUUAGUUGCCAUCAGGUUAAGCUGGGGACUCUAAAGGAACUGCCUACGCAAGUAGUGAGGAAGCGGGGAUGACGUCAAAUCAGCACGGCCCUUACGUCCAGGGCUACACACGUGCUACAAUGGCCGAUACAGAGGGCAGCUACCUGGUGACAGGAUGCAAAUCUCCAAAGUCGGUCUCAGUUCGGAUCGGAGUCUGCAACCCGACUCCGUGAAGUUGGAUUCGCUAGUAAUCGCGCAUCAGCCAUGGCGCGGUGAAUACGUUCCCGGGCCUU